ACCCGCUGAACUUAAGCAUAUCAAUAAGCGGAGGAAAAGAAACCAACAGGGAUUGCCCCAGUAACGGCGAGUGAAGCGGCAAGAGCUCAAAUUUGAAAUCUGGCCUCCCCCGGGGGCCCGAGUUGUAAUUUGCAGAGGAUGCUUCGGGUGCGGCCGCCGUCUAAGUUCCUUGGAACAGGACGUCAGAGAGGGUGAGAAUCCCGUCUUGGGCGGGCGGUCCGCGCCCGUGUGAAGCUCCUUCGACGAGUCGAGUUGUUUGGGAAUGCAGCUCUAAGCGGGUGGUAAAUUUCAUCUAAAGCUAAAUAUUGGCCGGAGACCGAUAGCGCACAAGUAGAGUGAUCGAAAGGUUAAAAGCACCUUGAAAAGGGAGUUAAACAGCACGUGAAAUUGUUGAAAGGGAAGCGCUUGCGGCCAGAUUCGGGGGCGGGGUUCAGCGGGUGCUCGUCGCCCGUGUAUUCCUCGUCUCCCGGGCCAGCAUCAGUUUCGACGGCCGGUCAAAGGCCCCCGGAAUGUGUCGUCUCUCGGGACGUCUUAUAGCCGGGGGUGCAAUG
rnacentral:rRNA from 1 species